rnacentral:rRNA from 1 species
AUUGAACGCUGGCGGCAUGCUUUACACAUGCAAGUCGGACGGCAGCACAGAGAAGCUUGCUUCUUGGGUGGCGAGUGGCGAACGGGUGAGUAAUAUAUCGGAACGUACCGAGUAAUGGGGGAUAACUAAUCGAAAGAUUAGCUAAUACCGCAUAUUCUCUGAGGAGGAAAGCAGGGGACCUUCGGGCCUUGCGUUAUUCGAGCGGCCGAUAUCUGAUUAGCUAGUUGGUGGGGUAAAGGCCUACCAAGGCGACGAUCAGUAGCGGGUCUGAGAGGAUGAUCCGCCACACUGGGACUGAGACACGGCCCAGACUCCUACGGGAGGCAGCAGUGGGGAAUUUUGGACAAUGGGCGCAAGCCUGAUCCAGCCAUGCCGCGUGUCUGAAGAAGGCCCUCGGGUUGUAAAGGACUUUUGUCAGGGAAGAAAAGGCUGUUGCUAAUAUCGACAGCUGAUGACGGUACCUGAAGAAUAAGCACCGGCUAACUACGUG